rnacentral:rRNA from 1 species
ACGGGAGACACACGGCGGGUGCUAACGUCCGUCGUGAAGAGGGAAACAACCCAGACCGCCAGCUAAGGUCCCAAAGUCAUGGUUAAGUGGGAAACGAUGUGGGAAGGCCCAGACAGCCAGGAUGUUGGCUUAGAAGCAGCCAUCAUUUAAAGAAAGCGUAAUAGCUCACUGGUCGAGUCGGCCUGCGCGGAAGAUGUAACGGGGCUAAACCAUGCACCGAAGCUGCGGCAGCGACGCUUAUGCGUUGUUGGGUAGGGGAGCGUUCUGUAAGCCUGUGAAGGUGUACUGUGAGGUAUGCUGGAGGUAUCAGAAGUGCGAAUGCUGACAUAAGUAACGAUAAAGCGGGUGAAAAGCCCGCUCGCCGGAAGACCAAGGGUUCCUGUCCAACGUUAAUCGGGGCAGGGUGAGUCGACCCCUAAGGCGAGGCCGAAAGGCGUAGUCGAUGGGAAACAGGUUAAUAUUCCUGUACUUGGUGUUACUGCGAAGGGGGGACGGAGAAGGCUAUGUUGGCCGGGCGACGGUUGUCCCGGUUUAAGCGUGUAGGCUGGUUUUCCAGGCAAAUCCGGAAAAUCAAGGCUGAGGCGUGAUGACGAGGCACUACGGUGCUGAAGCAACAAAUGCCCUGCUUCCAGGAAAAGCCUCUAAGCAUCAGGUAACAUCAAAUCGUACCCCAAACCGACACAGGUGGUCAGGUAGAGAAUACCAAGGCGCUUGAGAGAACUCGGGUGAAGGAACUAGGCAAAAUGGUGCCGUAACUUCGGGAGAAGGCACGCUGAUAUGUAGGUGAAGUCCCUCGCGGAUGGAGCUGAAAUCAGUCGAAGAUACCAGCUGGCUGCAACUGUUUAUUAAAAACACAGCACUGUGCAAACACGAAAGUGGACGUAUACGGUGUGACGCCUGCCCGGUGC